rnacentral:rRNA from 1 species
GACGAACGCUGGCGGCGUGCUUAACACAUGCAAGUCGAACGGAAAGGCCCUGCUUUUGUGGGGUGCUCGAGUGGCGAACGGGUGAGUAACACGUGAGUAACCUGCCCUUGACUUUGGGAUAACUUCAGGAAACUGGUGCUAAUACCGGAUAGGAGCUCCUGCUGCAUGGUGGGGGUUGGAAAGUUUCGGCGGUUGGGGAUGGACUCGCGGCUUAUCAGCUUGUUGGUGGGGUAGUGGCUUACCAAGGGUUUGACGGGUAGCCGGCCUGAGAGGGUGACCGGCCACAUUGGGACUGAGAUACGGCCCAGACUCCUACGGGAGGCAGCAGUGGGGAGUAUUGCACAAUGGGCGGAAGCCUGAUGCAGCAACGCCGCGUGCGGGAUGACGGCCUUCGGGUUGUAAAACGCUUUCGCCUGUGACGAAGCGUGAGUGACGGUAAUGGGUAAAGAAGCACCGGCUAACUACGUG